UACGGAGGAGGCAAGCGUUAUCCGGAAUUAUUGGGCGUAAAGCGUGCGCAGGCGGUUUUGUAAGCCGGAUGUGAAAUCCCCGGGCUUAACCUGGGAAUGGCAUUCGGGACUGCAAGGCUGGAGUGCGGCAGAGGAGACUGGAAUUCCUGGUGUAGCAGUGAAAUGCGUAGAUAUCAGGAGGAACACCGAUGGCGAAGGCAGGUCUCUGGGCUGACACUGACGCUCAUGCACGAAAGCGUGGGGAGCAAACAGG
rnacentral:rRNA from 1 species